rnacentral:rRNA from 1 species
GACGUAGGGGGCGAGCGUUGUCCGGAUUUAUUGGGCGUAAAGCGUGCGUAGGCGGCUGCGCAAGUCGGUUGUGAGACCCCGGGGCUCAACCCCGGAACUGCAUCCGAUACUGCGUGGCUAGAGGUAGGUAGGGGAGAUCGGAAUUCCUGGUGUAGCGGUGAAAUGCGCAGAUAUCAGGAGGAACACCGGUGGCGAAGGCGGAUCUCUGGGCCUUACCUGACGCUCAGGCACGAAAGCUAGGGGAGCGAACAGG